AUGAAUUGGACGUCUAAGAAGAGUUGGUUUGGCUAAAAAUGCUUCAUCAUGCAGUUAUAGGUUUCUAAGGGAUAUUUGAUCAUUUCAAUAUCAUUGUUUGAAAGAAAAAUUCCCUGAAGAACUGUAGUGUUUCUUUCUGGCAACCGUUUGUAUGAUAUAAUGGGCAAGUGACCAAAAGAUUUAUCAAAACAAAAUUUAUAAUUAUGGCCACUUAUUUGGAGAUGCAUUAUUAUGGCCUAUACUUCAUG
rnacentral:misc_RNA from 1 species